ensembl:lncRNA
CUCUGAAAAAAAUUUAAAAAAACUUGACCAAAAUUCCAUAGCAAUUGAAUUCAGAUUCUCUUGAGCCCAGGACUUGCUCACACCAUUUCUCUGGAUAAAGGUUAUUAAAGUGGGAAAUUACCAAUACAGAGUCAAGUAGAAAUAUAAGAGUAUUUAAUAGGGAAAAGUCUUACUUACAGAGCAACCUAGCCAGCCGGUGCGGCAGCAGUCUGUACAGCGAGCCAAAAAGGAAAACCGAAAGUGAAACACAGCCCUGAACCUCUCACUCUACGUCACCCUGACCAUGCCCUAGCAGGCAUGGUUAGGCAGACCUGUAGCCAGCCCCUAAGUAGGCGUGGCUAAGGUUCCCCUACAAUUCCCCUUUUAGUCUAAAAGAGGAUUAAAACUUAACAGUGUAAAGUAUCCAAAAUUAACAAUUACAAAGGUGAAAUUUAAGAAGAUACAACAAUCUGCUCAUGUCACAUCCUAUCUAUCUAUUUUAACUAAACCCUAAAGUCAUCUGAAAGAGGUGUCCAAGCCUGAAUACCUCCUUCCAAUCCCAAUCAUAAACAAUAGGAAGCUAUCCCUAACUAGUUAUAUACACUAUCCUAAAUGACAACAAUGGGGAAAGGGGGCAUAGCAUCCUCCAAGUUACUUCCUGCUGAAAUGGGACGACUACAUCCUUGUGCAGUCCUGUAGGAAAAAAAAUGUUAGUAUAGUAAAAGUCUUGCAUGAAUUGUAUACAGUCCAUGUUAGAUGGGAUUUGGUUGAUUGAAGAUCUCACUUGAAAUCCUCAACUUGAUUGAAGUCAGUACCUGAAGCUCUGGCGGGAGUGUCAGUUGAAAUGGAGCAAGUUGAAUCUAGUGCAGGCGAGGAGGUGUGGCCCAUUUUCUUUCCGGGGUAUCCAGGGAUUGCUGUCAGGGAGGUCUUCAUUGGCUGCGUGGGACUCAAACAUAAACAGUUAUCAGAGAACUGUUUGCUUGUGAUGUACACAUACUGGGAAAGGCAACCAUGGGAGCAUAACAAUUAUGAGAGGGUAUACACCUUGAAAGUAAGAUCCAAGAAACGACAAAGACAGUUCCCAAAUUCUUCUUUUAUUCUGUAUUACAUCAAUUGCCUUCUUGAUACAAUACAGAAACUCUGAAGUUUAGUUAAAUAAUGUGCUUGGAUUUUAGAGGGGGAAAGCCAAAUCCACCUCUAAAUCCAGCAUUGGUUUAAUUGAAUAGGGACUAGAAAAGAGAAAUAGAAUUCUCUGGGGACAGCUGUAAAGUUAACCAUAUGGCACCUUCCUUUUGUUUGAUGGUUAUAGCUACCUUCUCUUCUUAAGUAUCUACCCACAGAGUGUCCUUUGCCUUCUGGAGAUGAGAUUUCCUGUGAAGAUAAAAGCAAAACACUUCCCUUUCCUUUGGGAGGUUUCUAUUUAGUUUAUAAGAUAUACCUUAGUAGAAUAACUGUCAUUUCUCCUCGUGGAGAGGUUUUUCCUUUUCAACUCGAAUCUUGAUCAACUUUGAUGGUAUCCAAAGUUUUUCUUCUCCUAUGGAAACCAAUGCAAAACCCCUACCCCAACGUAACACAUGUCCUGGAUUCCAUACAGAGGUUAGUACAUCUUUGAAGUAUACCGGCUGAUUCAGUUCAGCGGUUUUCUCCAUAGUCCAGUGUCUUUCUGCAGCUGUUUGUCCUUUUUCAUUGGCAUUAAGAAAGUUUAGUGUUAAUAAAGCAUUAUGCAACCUAUGUUUGGGUGGUUUAGUCUUCCAAGCUUGUUUGCUGAGCAUCUCCUUAAGUGUUCUAUUAGAUCUCUCAACCACUGCUUGUCCCGUAGGAUUGUGUGGUAUACUGGUGACAUGCUUUAUGUUAUAAUAUUUGAAAAAUUGUUCCAAUUUUGUGGAGACAUAUGCUGGAGCAUUGUCAGUUUAUCUUAUUGAUUGUUAAAUAAGGUACUGUUUGGCCAAUGAGACAGCAAGUUAGAUAGGACUAGGAGUCAAAGAGAAUUCUGGGAAAUGUAGUAGAGAUGUGGUGUUCCAGGCAGGAAGUGACAUAGCAAGGAGACAUAUUUAAGCAAGUGAAAGAGGAAGGGCUCCCCUUUUUCCUCUUUCUCCUCCAGCAGUGCAAUGUGAUCCACCGGCAAGGAGGGACACCAAUAAGGUGUCCGAUAAGACAAGAGUUGAAGAGUGAAUUGAUUUAUAUUUCCUUCAUUAGUACAUAAAAUUCGUAAGGAAAGUAUUUCAUAGACAUCUGUCUACUCAGAGACCGUGAUGAAUGGAUAAAAGAUAUACUGAAUCGAUAACUAGGUGUCCUUAGGAUAAAAUAUGCCAGGGAGGGGCACAUCUCUGGGUGAGUAAGUGAAGGAGAGAAUAUAAAAAUUAUCAAACUGUUUAGUAAAUGGCUGUGUCUUUCACAUAAGAUGUGUUUUGGCUGAAGAGAUGAUAGUUCAGUGGUUCAUAACAUUGUUGAUCUUGCAGAGGACCCACAUUUGAUUACCAGCACCCACAUGGUGGCCCACAACUAUCUGUAACUUAAAUCUAGUUGCAGAGGAUCUGAUGCUUUCUUCUAGCCUUCCCGAGCACCAGACACACAGUGGUACAUAUAUAGAUACACAAGCAAAACAGUCAUAUACAUAAAAUGAAAUAAAUAAAUCUAAAGGUAAUUUUUAAAAAAUCCAUUGAGGGGUCCCCACAGGUAUCACUGCAGUCAGGAAAAUGAACCAUGAAGAGGUGGUAAUGAAAACUCAGUUCAGCCUGACUUAGUCUGCCAGGCUGGAUCAAACUUCAGGAGUUUGAUGCCAGGCAGUUUAUUGGCAGCAUAUUUGCAGUGGUACAAUUUGAUAAGUUUUUUGGUGCAUUCAAUCCUUGGUGCACAGGAAGCAUAAGUACAUCCAAACUCAACUCAUGGUACAUGUCAUUUUUUCUUCCAGAUAGGCUACCUGUAUUAGCUUAAGUACCUAGAGAGGGAUCUGGCAUAGUCUCUUUCACCCUUUGAGUUCUUGUUCUUGCUCUUCAAUUUACCCAAAAACUUAUACUUUCCCUAACUCCUACUCAUGAGUGAUGGGGUCCUCUGCUAUAGAUCUCAGCUUAAAUAGAAUUUCCUUUAUGCAUAAGAGGAUUCUCCACAUUGAAUCUCUCUGCUUGGGUGGGGCUGUGACUUCACUUAACCAAUGAGUUGUGACAAGAGUGACAUAUGACACGUCUAGGCUCCAGAGUUUUAUAGGUAACUACUGAUCUUUUUGAGCUAUAUUCCCUUUGCCAUUUUGAGGUACUUCAUUAUCCUUGGUCACAUCACAACCUUCAAGAGACCUGUAACAUGAGAGAGAAACAAGGUUCUGUUGUUUUAAGCCAUUGAUACUCAGGGAAUGUUUGUUACCACAGAAUAGUCAUCUUUGCAUUAUUUGUAAUAGCCAGAACCUAGAAAGAAAGUAGAUGCCCCUCAACUGAAGAAUGGAUAGAGAAAAUGUGGUACAUUUACACAAUGGAGUACUACUCAGCGGGGGAAAACAAAAAACAAAAAAACAAUGGAAUCUUGAAAUUUGCAGGCAAAUGCACGAACUAGAAGAAACCAUUCUGAGCAAGGUAACCCAGUCACAAAAAGACAAACAUGGUAUGUACUCACUCAUAUGUGGAUUUUAGACAUAGAGCAAAGGAUUACCAUCCACACUGCCAGGGAAGCUGGUAAAAAAGGAGGACCCUAAGAGAGACAUACAUGGUCCCCUGGAGAAGGGGAAAGGGACAAAAUCUCCUGAGCAAAUUGGGAGCAUGGGGGGAGGGGAGAGGGAACUAGGAGAAUGAGAAGGGGAGAAGAGGAGGGAUGAGGAAGACAUGAUGGGGCAGGGAAGUUGAGUUGGGGAAGAACAGAAGACAGCAAGAUAAGAGAUAAUAUAAUAGAGGGAGACAUUAUAGAUUUAAAGAGAAAUCAGGCACUAGGGAAAUGUCUGGAGAGCAACAAAGAUGACACCAACUAACAAUCUAAGCAACAGAGGAGAGGCUACCUUAAAUGCUCUCCCCUGAUAAUGAGAUUGAUGACUAAUUCAUAUGACAUUUUAUAGCCAUCAUCCAACAGCUGGUGGAAGUAAAAGCAGACACCCACAGCUAAACCUUGAAUUGAACUGAAAUCCAGUUGCAGAGAAGGAGGACUGAUGAGCAAAGGGGUCCAUACCAGGCUGGUGAAACCCACAGAAACAGCUGACCUGAACAAGGAAGAGCUCUUGGUCCCCAGACUGAUAGCUGGGAAACCAGAAUGGGACUGAUCCAGACCCCCUGAAAGUGGGUGUCAGUGAGGAGACCUUGGAAAUCUAUGGGACCUCUUGUAUUGGAUCAGUACUUAUCCCUAGCAUAGGAAUGGACUUUGGGAGCCCAUCCCACAUGGAGGGAUAAUCCCUGAGCCUAGACUCAAGGGGGUUGGCCUAGGCCCUAUCCCAAAGAAUAAGACAGACUUUGAAGACCCCCUAUGGAAGGCCUCACCCUCCCUGGGGAGCAGAAAGGGUAUGGGAUAGGUAGGGGUCAGGGGAGGAGGGGAGGGAGAGGGACCUGGGAUUGACAUGUAAAAUAAUUUUUCUUCUAAUUAAAAUAAAAAAAGACUUCCAGAGUGAGAUCAUUGCCUGGUUUGUUUGGACUGGGAAUUUUUAGGUUCUCACGGUAUCAUUCAAGGAAUUGAAAAAAAAUACACACACAAAGAAGUAUCAAAAAUACAGAAAAAUUAUCAAGAGCAAAGCAAAGUUUCAUAUUUCAGAUAUACUGCCAGGAGAGCCCGUGAGCUAGUUGAAUGAAUGAGAAGUCCAGACAAAACAAAACAAAGACAAGGAAGAUACAACAAUGAACAUCAAAAUAAAGAAGCAAUAAGACAAAAAAGAAAACAAACAAAGCAAAAUGAAACAAAAAGUCUACAAAAUCAUUAUUGAGUUCAUUUUGUGUUUGUCAACUACUCUUGGGCAUGGGGCAUGCCCUGAAGUGUGGUUAAUAUAUUCAAUGAGACGCUAUUGGAGAAAACUAACUUUUUCUAUGUCAGUGGGUAUCAAUUGCAGAGAGCUUCUGGGUUAGGGGUUGGUGUCCUUGUCUACUUCCCCUUCUCAGUGCUGCAGUCCAUUAAACUUGAACUUGUACAGGACUUGUGCAUGCUGCCACAGUCUCUGUGAGUUCAUAUGGACAUCCAGUCCUGCUGUAUCUGGCAGAUGUUUCCUCAGAGUCAUCCAGCCUCUCUGACUCUUACAAUCUCUUUGCCUUCUCUUUCUCAUAUAUACCUGUGGCCUUGAUGCGAGGGCUUUGAUGAAAUCAUCCUGUUUAGGACUGACUGCUCCAAAGUCUCAUUCUGUGCACAUUGGAUCUCUGUUGUAGUUCCCAAUCUACUGCAAGAAGAUUCUUUGAUGAGAGAUGAGUGAGACACUGAUCUCUGGGAUUAACUGGAUGUUUUAUUGGGAUUUUUGUUGUUGUUUUUGUUUUUGAGACAGGGUUUCUGUGUGUAACAGUCCUGGAUGUCCUAGAACAUGCUUUGUAGACCAGGCUGGCCUUGAACUCACAGAGAUCCACCUGCCUCUACCUCCCAAGCACUGGGAUUAAAGGUGUGCACCAUCACUGUCCAGCUUAUUGAUACUUCUUUAACAGAAUAAAGUGUUAAAUUUUCC